AAACCAAACAAUGGCAAGGUCCAAAUCAUGGUAUUCAAGUAUUAAGCUAUUGUUUGAUUUGCAUUCUUGGGACCUAUAAAACCUACAAGGUACAUGCAAGACAAUCCAUUAGUCCCAAUGACUAUGUUGUCACUCAAUCACCAAAAUCACAAACUAUGGCCUAAUGGGGCCAUGUUCGCUACAAUCUCUCCCUUUUUGGUGAUUGAUGACAACACAAUCAAAGUAAUCAUAAAUUUGCAAAAAUUGACCAGUUGAACCACUUACAAUUGCUUGGAUGCUUACCAUCAUCCAACUUGUACUUGAUCUCCUUGUUCAUCCUCAUCUUGUUUCACUUCUCUCCCCCUUGACAUAUUUCUCCUUAUUUCUUGAACUUCUCCCCCUUAUGCAUGUUUCACUUCUAGGACUUUCUUUGAUUCCACACUUCUCCCUCUUUGGAUCAAAUCACCUAAAAGAUAGCUCCAAAGACUUGCAAACCUAAAAGAACUUGCAAACAACAUAGCUCAAAGGGAAACAUUAGUAGCCUAAGAAAAUAGCUCCAUGAACCAUGAUCCACAUGAGAUAGCAUCAAUGAAG
rnacentral:lncRNA from 1 species